UGGUCCAUUUUCUGCCUUACCAGGGUCACGGUACGAGUGAUCAGACUCUGAUCCGGAUCCUGGUGAGCCGCUCCGAGGUCGACCUGCAGAAGGUCGUAGAGGAGUACCGGGCAAUGUUUGAGAGAACCCUACAUGAGGACAUCUUGAACGACACCAAAGGACAUUAUCAGAAAGUCCUGCUUGCGUUGUGCGGACCGAGUUAAAACCUCGGCCUCUGAGGAAGCAAAAAAUCAGUCAAAUUCAUGCUCUAAUAAAGUUUCUCUUUCCACUAUUUGUUUUACUGCUGCUGGUGGAAAAAA